rnacentral:sRNA from 1 species
ACUGGGCCUGGUCGUGCAUGCCUGUAAUCCCUGUGGCUCAGGAGGCUGAGGCAGGAGGAUUGGGAGUUUGAGGCCAGUCUCAGAAACUUUGUGAGACCCUGUCUCAA